UGACUAGUUGCUUAAGCGUUCAUGUUAGGGUCACACAAUCAAUUACCUCAUGAAUGUAUCGUCUCUAUUUCCAAUAUCUGAACACACAAGGAAACUAUAAUCUCCUCCUUCACCUUAUCGAUCUCUUCCUUAUUGCAAUUCAGUCAUACCAAUAAAUGCUAUUUCCACCAAUAUAUUCACCUUCAUAAUCUCUAACUAUAAUACUAUGCCCUCACAGCUUUCAACACUCAAUUACCCUUAUUCUAAUCACUGGAAUUCUUCACACAGAACUGCCAUUCACAUUACAAUGUUUCACACAAAUAUAGACUCAUUCUCUCUACUGAACUACAAUCAGAUUUCAACAUCCAAUCUUUCUUGUUCUCAAAUAAUACCAAUCACAUUUCCAUUCCAUAAUUCACUUCACAAUAUUCAAAAACUCUCAAUCCUCUUAUUCAAAGAAAAUAACAAACAAAAGAAAAGAGGUAGGACCAAGCUUACCCCGGCUCAUACUAUCACAGCGAUGGCACCUUAAUUAACUUCUACAACUCCUAUAUACUUUCUGCUGAUUCUCCAGAUUUUAACCAUAAUUCUAUAAUUAACUACUUUUAAUAACUAAAUCAUUCAUCCAUCCUCCUGAAUUUCCUAUUAUAUGGACUAUUAAUAUAUUUUACCAAUAUCUUUCAAAAAUAAAUUAAUAUCUAUUCUACAUAGCCCCACUCCUGUCUGUGCAAUGUCCUCGCAAAUACUCAAUUGAUACCUAUCUAAAAAUUAUCUAACAAAAUUCUACAAAAAUUAUGAUCCCUCUAGCCUAUUUAAUUAAUCAAUUGCCACAAUAUCUGUUAUUGGUUCCACCGAUUUCGAUUGCAACUAUAAAUCUUCUUCUUCUUCCUCCAAUCCUUCCAUCAGCUCCUGCCUCAACUGAGCUGAAAGGUCUUCAUUGUACUCACCUAGUUCAUGGACUUGAGCUUCUAAUUUCAAGAUUUGGCCAUCUCUCAAUUCCAACUAGCGUUGAAAGUGACUCUUCUCUUCUGAAACUUCGGAAACUGGCAAUGUCGAUACUUGUGCUUGACCAAUAUUGACUAAAUCCUCUGUCAAUCUUAUCACCUUGAUCUUCAAGGCCUCAAUUUCAGCCCUUAAUCACUCCGUUUUACAUUUGUACUGGUCACUCAAUACCAAUUUCUCUUGCAUCAAUAACUCGGCCUUUUCUCGUUCCAUUACCAACUCACCCUUCAUUUUUUUCAGUUCCAAAAUUAAAUUAUUGUGAGUCUAAAAUAGUUCUUGCCUGUGGAUCUCGACCAUGCGUUCUCUUUCUUGUGACUCGCUCCUUACUAUUAACUUUUAUUUGGAACUACUACUCUCGAAAACACAAGAAUUACAAAAAAUAACACUCCAGCCAACCCAAAACAAUACCACAGAAUGACUUUAAUUGGUGCUCUACUCCUAUUCUUUUACCUAGUGGUGAUAACGACAACAUGUUACCCAUACUGUCCGUGAAAGAUAAUGGGAAGUAAUCUUUCUUGGUGGCUGCAUUAAAUUUCCGGAAAUCCUGACAAAUUUGGAUUUUUUCAUUCUUUUUCAGUACCAUCACGAUUCGUGAUAUCCAUGCACUAUGCGGAAUAGGAUAAAUAAAAUCCACAUCAAGAAGUUUAUCCAAUUCUUCUUUCACUAAAAAAAAAUAUUUUAGGUUAAGCCAAUAUUGUCUUUAACGAACUGGCAUAACACCCUCUUCCAGAAUAAUCUGGUGCUCACACACGUCAACUGGAAUCCCUUUCAAAUCUGCAUAUGACCACGCAAAGGUAGAUUUAUGACGGACAAAAAAUUAUUUCCAAGCAUCCAAUUCUGUACCUAUAAUAUCGAAAAAUAUUUUAAUUAGAUGUGGCGUUUCGUUAGUGCUCAGGUUAAUGGAUUGACAUACAGGGUCUUCAACAACCUCUGAUUUAAUUGUCUUCUCCUGAUCUGAAUAUCUUGUAUUAUUCGACAUAUGAAAACCAUCCAAAUCUGGUUCCAAUGUGUUGACUCUAUUCACUAUGGAAUUUUUCAUCCAUUCGACAAUAGCAUGAUCCAAGUUAAUCGCAUCGUCCUGAUGCAAUAAAUAUUUGCUGGGACCUCCACAUUGGUAGAUUCUUGCCUUUGCUGUUGAAGUAUUUUGUCCUACCCCAAAUUGCGGUGAACCUAUAUCAUCGUCAUCUACCUCAAUCGAUUGAUUCUCGUUGUCCGAUGUAAAUUCUGAUUUUGGCAAUUGAGAUUCUCCAUGAUAUUGUACCAAGUACAUCUGUAAAACAAUCGGGUCACGGCCUUUUUCAAUUGUCAAUGUGCCUCAGUCCCAAUUGUUCUUAGCUUUGGUUUGAUAAAGCUAAGGUCUGCCCAAUAAAAUGGGAUAUGAUAAUGUAGAACUCUGUAAUCGAAAUAUAAUAUAAUCAAUUUUGUAUGUCAAUCUUGUGAUUAUAGUAGCAAUAUUGUGUAAGAUUCCUAUUGGCUUUACUCGACUAUGAUUUGCCAUUCGGAAUACUAAUAUUGUAGGUAGCAAUUGCUUUAGAUCCAAGUCCUCUAUUGUAUCCGUGUUCAUUAAAUUCCCAUUGGAGCCACCAUCGACUUGUACCUCUGGAAUUAAAAUGCCAUUGAUUGAUACAUCGAUUGUUGGUGCUCCCGGAUCUGGGUUUAAGCUAACUUCAUGAGUUUCUUUAGUACCGAAUCUUCAUCGUAUUAGCACUGAAUUCAAUGUAGAUCGACAUUCUAGUGCUAUAGCCAAAAGUUACUUCAUUAUAAUUGAAGGCUGAAUAACAUCCAAAUCCUUCAGAAUGUCGUAGGAUUCCAUAUUGAGAGUAAUUCCCAAUGCUCUUUUGCGUUUCAUUGGUUUUGAUUUUACUCCAUGAGGUAAGAUAUUCUUCUACCCUGGACUCGAAAUUAGAACAACAUCCGGGGCUUCUUUGGAAUUCCCGCCCCCAAGAGGAUCUUUCAACGGAUAGGACGUUUCUCGAAACUGCAUAGAGAUUGGAACUGCUUGGAAUAGAACCGAAGCCUCCGUAAUUGGGACCUUAUUGGGUUGUGCUACCGAGUUAGGUCUCAUACUAGGUACGAAGUCCAUAACAAGAUCUGGAUUAGAUAGUCCCUUAAUUGGGUCAAAUUGGUCUUUCGCAUCGGGAUUACCCAAAUGUUGAAUUCGUCCUUUUAUCUUUUGCUGACUCCGGGUAAGAACAACUUGGAUACAUUCCACUCGAUUUAUCGUAGAAUCUUCAGGACCUCGAUUUAUCUCCUCAAAUUUUCCUUGGCUUUGGAUUUGCUGAUCCCGAUUAUUGGUAUUGAACAGAGUAUUAUAUUACUGAUACAUAUGCCUCGACUACUUGCAAUUUCCACAAACUGAUGUAUAAUCGUCACUGGCUCUGGAAUUAGAACAUUCAUUGGCAUAAUGACCAAUCUAUCUGCAACGGAAACAACAAAGUGGUCUUCUUGUAUCCCCAUUAGGCAUAUUGGGUGCCUCCAUGGGUAUAUACCUACUAGACUUGUUCCAUGUAGGGUUAAAAAAUGAUCUUGGUUGUCCCGUUGAUACUAAGGGAACUUAGUUUGAUGACGUCGGUGGAGCAUAUUGCUGAUACCUAUGCUACUCCUUACCGUAGUUCUCGGGUUCGAUGUAGACCCUUGAUUAAAAUUGGAACUUUGAAAGUUAUUGAAUGCUCGAUUUUGUUGAUUAAAUCGAUUUCCAUUCCAUCCAAACGUAUUUCCCAUUUGUACUUGAUUGACAUUCCAUUGGGUUGGUGGGAUCAUGGUUUGAUUACUAAAUUGUUAUUGUUGUCUUUGUCAAUUCUAACAAUUUACUGUUAGGUGCUUUCCUCUGAAAAAUGUACAUUGACCCAUUAUUUGUGAGGGUGAAGGGCAUUCUGUUACAGAAUGACUAUGGCCCUUACAAUUAUUGCACCAUACAUUGGUCCUAGUAUUGGUAGGCUUUUGCCUCUUCUCCUUAUCUUUGGCCAUAUUGACGACCAUUUCUUCCAUUUUCUUCGUCAAAUUCAAUAAUAAGAUUUCAUUAGAAUCUUUUAGGGCUGACAUUAUUGGUAUCUUUGUCAUAGUUAAGAAUUAAUAGUAGAUAUUUGCCGUUGUUAGUGGCAAAUUAUAUAGAUAUGGAGUUGACGGGAUAUUAAGGAGGUGUGUAAUAGAAGAAGAAAUUUCUACCAUUCUAUCCCCAUGUCACAAUAGUGCAUGCGGGGGCCACUUUUCAAGAAUCUUAAUGAGCCAUAAAAUACUUAAAGUGUAUUAUUAUUGGCCUAUAUUAUUUUAAGAUGUGCAUAAAUAUACUAAGACAUGCAAUUCAUUUUAAUAGUAUAUUAGGAAUGACCUAAAGAUGAGUUUGCUUCUUUAUGUGUCCCUACUUUUAGUUCUCUUUGAAAAAUGGAAAAUUGAUUAUAUUAGAGUUCAUCCCAAUUCCAUUGGUAGUAUAAAACAUAUAGUGGUAGCAACCAAAUACUUGACCAAGUGGACUAAGGCAAAGGCAGUUGAAGUCCAUGAUGUCAAAUAAACUGCCAAAUUUUUCUAUGAAUAAAUCAUCAUUAGAUUUGGAUGUCCAAAAAUCCUAAUUAGUAAUAGAAGCAAGCAUUUCUUAAAUGAAGUCAUAGAAGAUUUAACCUUUUUAUUUAAAAUUGACUAUAGAAAAACUACUCCUUAUCACUCUCAAAGUAAUGGGUAUACAAAAACGGUAAAUCAAAUCUUGAUCAAUAUUCUUAGAAAAACUGUCAUAAUAUCUAAAAGAGAUUGAGAUAUGUAGAAUAAGUAGUUAUUUUCAGAAUGUAGAUACUUGGUGUAUAGUAUAAACAGGGAUAGAUAACUGUUGAAAAGGUGGUUCAGCAAGUAGAAUAGAUGAAUAGUCAGGAAAAGUAGUUAUCAUCUGUAGUAUAACAGUUGGUAUCUCGGGGUAGUAUAAGGAGGAUGGGAGAAGAGAAGAAAAUGCCAGACUGCAAUAGUACUGAGCCGGGAGCCAGACUGUGAGAGUUGUGAGCCGAGGGCCAGACUGUUAGAGUUGUAAGCCGGGGUAAGCUUGGUACUACCUCUUUUCUUUUGUUUGAUAUUUUCUUUGAAUAAGAGGAUUGGAAGUUUCUGAAUAUUGUGAAGUAAAUUAUGGAAUAGAAAUGUGAUUGGUAUUAUUUGAGAAGAAGAAAGAUUGAAUGCUGAAAUCUGAUUGUAGUUCAAUAGAGAGAAUGAGUCUGUGUUUGUGUGAAACACUGUAAUGUGAAUGGCAGUUCUGUGUGAAGAAUUCCAGUGAUUGGAACGAGGGUAAUUGUGUGUUGAAAGCUGUGAAGGCAUAGUAUUACAGUUGGAGAUUAUGAGGGUGAAUAUAUUAGUGGAAAUAACAUUUAUUGGUAUGACUGAAUUGCAGUAAGGAAGAGACCGAUAAGUUGAAGGAGGAGAUUAUAGUUUUCUUGUGUGUUCAGAUAUUGGAAAUAGAGACGAUACAUUCAGGAGGUAAUUGAUUGUGUGACCCUAACGUGAACGCUUAAGCAACUAGUCAUUCCCCAUAUUUGAAUCCCCCUAUAUGGAUUUAUGCUGGGAGAUUUCUUCCGGAAUAAGUAAAAUGAGCAAUCAUAUUUUGGCGCUGCUGCCGGAGAGUGAUAAUAGCUUUGAGUGUUAGGAAUUAUUUACCAAAUGUGUGAGAAAAUUGGCAACGGAAGACGAUUUUAGUUGUGUUUGAAGAAAGAAUAUGGUUAUUAAGAAUGAGAAUUUAACAGCAAAGAGAAUAAAGCAAUCAAAAGAAAGAACAAAGAGAUCGCAAGUAAGAAAUUUGUUGUGUAAUGAGCAAGAUCACAAAUUGAAAAAGAAGCAUCGACAAAGUUGGAUUAAGCCAUGGUUGCAUACCUAUUGGCAUAUUCAAUCGUACCCAGAAGACGAUCGACUUCUAAUAUUUUAGAAGUAUAUAUCGUUAAAGAAAUUGCCAAGAGCACUCACGGAGUGCGCUGCUAAUAGUGCAACAAACCUCUCGAAGCCUUUAACGGAAAAUGAGGAAGGCAUAGAGGAAUUAGGUAUCGCACUAGGUAUCUUCUCAAUUAGAAAUACGUCCGAUCCUAACAAGACUGGUUUUGAAGAUCGGCAUAAAUUACUUGCCAAUAAAGACCAAUUCAGAGUAUAUCAAAACCUGUCGUUUUCACCUCAUAUUCAACCAGUAAAAUUAUUUGGAGAUAACAAUAGUCAAUUGAGAAGGCCUAAACGUCCAAAAAAGACUUUUAUGGGAGAUAGUUUUUAUUUUAAUAAGAAAUUGAGCAGAACACUGGCAUCUUUAAUGACGUCCGGAAGACCAGUAGUUUCGAUUGCAGUUCAAAUGGAUGCAGUGGGCGAUCGAAUGACUAGCGUCGUGCCAUUAUCUACUUUUUGGAGUUUGCCAAGUGCGGAUCCAGAUCAAAAUUUGUCUCAAUUCUUAACGGUGUGUGUAGCCAAUAAUAGAAGAACAGAAGACAUUUGGCUGAGAUGGCUGCCAGCGACAUUGAAAGACAUAGUGUUUGAGUGAUAUAACCGCCAACCUGUGGGACAAUUUAUCAAUUGGGAGGCAUUGAAAAAUACAUUUUUAGCCCAUUUUCGACCAAUUGGUUUUGAAGAACAUUUUAGAGAAAAAUUAAUGAACAGCAGAAUAGUACCGGGGGAAGCGGUACAGUCAUAUUAUGGUCGUAUAGCAGAUAUACUUUGAAAAUGGCCAAAUAACCAAAUGCCGGAAUCAUUUGUGUUGUCCAUAUUGGUUAAUAGACUACACCCACCAGAAUUGAAAAUGUUUGUAAAGGAGGCCCAAUCAGCCACUAUUGCAUCAUCUCUUGAGCGAGCAAAAGUAUGGGAGGAAUAUCACUAUGACCAAAACUUAACAGUUGGAGCCACGAUGAUUCCAUCUCAAGGAGGUUAUCAAAUGACAAAUUGGAAUGAUGCAUCGGGAAGUUAUUUGGGAAGGAAUGAUUAUGGUAUAAUUCCACAGGGAAUAGUGGAUGCCAUUCCAUUGCAAGCUGUACCACCAUCAUCAUCACACUUGUAUGCACCUUAUUCUGCAUAUCAGAAAUCAAUACCUAUAAAGGAAUUACCAAAUGCAUUUGUAUCAAGGGAUCCCAAUGAGUCAUUGCUGUUAACAUUGACGAAAAAAAUGAAUGAAUUGUCUGUGAAUCUGGCCAAGGAUAAAAAAAAAAAAAAACAUAAAUCAACCAAUAUGCGUCCCAAUGUUUGGUGCAGCAAUUGUAAGAGGCAAGGUCAUUUAGUAACAGAAUAUCCUUCACCACCCCAAAUGACUAUACAAUGUACCUUUUGCGGGGGCAAACAUAUUACCACCAACUGUUGGAAUUUAUGGAAGCAACAACAAUUCAGUAACCAGAUAAUGACUCAACCAACUUUGUGGGAUGUCAAUCAAGUACAGAUAAAUAAUAGAUUUGGCUGGAAUGGAAAUCAAGCGAAUAAACAAAAUAGGAAUUAUUCUAAUUUCCUCAACUCUCAAUUUCACCAAGUAAUUGUAAAGGGCAAGGUCAUUUAGUAACAGAAUGUCCUUCACCACCCCAAAUGACUACAAUGUACCUUUUGCGGGGGCAAGCAUAUUACCACCAACUGUUGGAAUUUAUGGAAGCAACAACAAUUCAGUAACCAGAUAAUGACUCAACCAACUUUGUGGGAUGUCAAUCAAGUACAGACGAAUAAUAGAUUUGGCUGGAAUAGAAAUCAAGCGAAUAAAUAAAACAGGAAUUAUUCUAAUUUUCUCAACUCUGAAUUUUACUAAGAAGGUGUAUCCAAUACUCACGGAUUGGCGAUGAAUCAACUAGGAUACCAUCAAUAUCCACCCAUGAUGAAGUCAAUGCCAGACUCUACAGUAACAAUGGUUCAACCAGGAUCCUUUACUCAUUCGACAUGGAACAGACCUAGCCAUUAUAUACCAGUAGAGACACCCAAUAUUCCUGAAGGAGUUGGCAGGAGACCACUUCGUUGUUAUCGUUACAGACAAAUUGGUCAUUAUGCCAAUGAAUGUCCUAAUCCAAGGGCCAGUGAUGACUAUGCUCCAAUAUGUGGAAAUUGUAAGCACUUAGGUCACACUUAUCAACAGUGCAAUACGCCCUUUAAUUAUAAUAAUCGGGACCAACAAAUACAAACAAGCUAAUCGGCGGAGGACAAAGGCCCUGUUCAACGAGACUCACUAGUACAUCGUGUCGAGGUGGUGAACGCAGUGCUUACCAAAGGCCAACAAAAAGACAAGAAUCCAAUUCAGGACAUGGAUGAAUCAAUCGCAGGAGAGCAAGUAGCGCCAUCCACGGGACUAAACGAACCAAUAUCAGUAUUGGGACGUAUCCCAAUAUUGAGACCUCAACAUACUGAAGAACCCAAUUCAGUCCCACGUGCCAAUUUGCCGGGACCAUCAAGAUCGAUUCCAACUGACCAAGUACCAAUACCUCUAUAGCCCAAUAAAAGAUCUUACGUAUUAAAAGAACCUUUAGUGGUAGACAAGUUGGCAAAGUUACCAACGGCAAUCGCAAUUGCCAGGUAGGAAUUGCUGUCAAACGGAGUAAAAUCGAAACCAAUGAAAUGUAAAAGAGCAUUGGAAAUUACUCUCAAUAUGGAAUCCUAUGACAUUCUGAAGGAUUUAGAUGUUAUUCAGCCUUCAAUUACAAUGAAGCAACUUUUGGCUGUAGCACCGGAAUGUCGAUCUACAUUGAAUUCAGCGUUAAUACGAUGAAGAUCCCGCACUAAAGAAAUUCAUGAAGUUAGCUUAAACCUAGAUCCGGGAUCACCAACAAUUGAUGUAUCAAUCAAUGGUGUUUUAAUUCCAGGGAUACAAGUCGAUGGUGGCUCUAGUGUGAUUUUAAUGAACGCGGAUACAAUGGAGGACUUGGAUCUAAAGCAAUUGCUACCUACGACAUUGAACUUGCGAAUGACAGAUCAUAGUCAACUAAAGCCAAUGGGAAUCUUACGUAAUAUUGCCACUCUAAUCGCGAGAUUGACAUACAAAAUCGAUUAUAUUGUAUUUUGAUUACAGAGUUCUACAUUAUCAUAUCUCAUUUUAUUGGACAGACCUUGGCUUUAUCAAGCCAAAGCUAAGAACGAUUGGAACUGAGGCACAUUGACAAUUAAAAAAGGCCGGGACCAGAUUGUUUUACAGAUGUAUCUGGUACAAUAUCAUAGAGAGUCUCAAUUGCCAGCAUCUGAAUUAACAUCGCGCGAUGAGCUUAGCUCCGAUGACGAUGUAGUAGCACCAAUUACGGAGGCGCCCGUGGAGGCAGCACUACACCCUGGAGUGGUGUACCAAUGUGGAGGUCCGAGAGAGUACUUGAUAUACCCCACGGACUCAAAAAACUCGGAUUAUGUUAGUACUGAUUGGAUGACGAAGUAUGAUGUGCACCAUGUUAGUGCCCUGGAUACAGAAUUCAAUACUUUGUACAUGUCGAACUUAUCGACUGACUUUAAACCAGCGCGGGGGCUGAAAUAGAACAUCCCCAUUUCACCUUUAUGUCAAACUAUUAACUUGGCGACCACAGUAGAAUAUCGAACAAUUAAGGUCUAUGAAGGUAUUAAGGAACAAGAAUUGACCUGUUGGACUAAAUUUUUCUUGCAUCGUAAAUCUGCUUUUGCUUCGACUUAUGAUGAUUUAAAAGGUAUUCUUGCUGAAGUCUGUGAGCAUCAUAUCAUUUUAGAGGAGAACGCUAAACCGGUACGACAGAAGCAACACCGGCUUAACCCAAAAUAUUCUCUUUUAGUGAAAGAGGAAUUGAAUAAACUUCUCGACGUGGAUUUUAUUUAUCUUGUUCCGCAUAGUGCAUGGGUGUCACCAAUCAUGAGGGUACGGAAGAAGAAUGGGAAAAUCAAGAUAUGUUAAGAUUUUUAAAAGUUAAAAGUGGCCACAUUUCUAUACGAGAAUAUUAUUACUUGAUUUGGGUGUCUAAAGGAAUUGGUUAGUGAUUGCGGCACUCAUUUCAUAAAUGCUACCAUAGCAGCCUUGACGAACACAUAUGAAAUCAAGCACAGGAAAAUAACACCAUAUCAUCCUCGGGCCAAUGGGCAGACGGAAAAGACCAAUGGUAUUCUAUGUAAGAUUUUAACUAAAAUAAUUUCGGGCAUGGGAAUGGAUUGGGAUACUAAAUUGUUUGUGGCAUUGUGGAUGUAUCGUACAGCAUAUAAAGUGACUACCAAUUCCACACCAUUUCAAUUGAUAUAUGAGCAAGAAGCAAUAUUAUCCAUUGAAUUAAAAGUUGAGAGUUUGCGCAUUGCGUUGGAUGAAUGUCUUGGAGAUAAGGAAUCACUUCAAUAUUGGUUGGCAGAGUUGAACAAAUUGAAUGAAAUACGGGCUACAGCUCUCUUCAACAUGGAAGCAACUCAAAAAUGACGGAAGAGUUACUAUGAUAGUAAACUAUGUUCGAAGAGUUUUAUGCCCAAUAGUUUGGUAUUGUUGUUUGAUAGCAAGUUUAAUCAUUUUCCGAGAAAAUUUCAAGUUUGCUAGCAUGGGCCAUAUUGUAUGAUUGAAGGGUUUUCCAAUGGGUCUGUUCAAUUGGAGGAUUUCAUAGGUCAGCGAUUUAGUAUCCGUAUUAACGGGAAUUGAUUACGGUUAUAUCAUACGUAAAAUCCAAGACGGGUUUUUAAUUUUUAGAGGAGGUCACGUCGAAUGUAUUUAAGAUAGACCUAAUUAAGUGCGUUAGGGUGUAGAGGCGGCUGAAAGGAUAGUUAGUAAUUACUAAUGUGUCAGAUGGGACGGAGAUGAGAAACGGUGUCGUAUUACGUGCUUUCCUGCUCGAGAAUGCGCCGGGCGUAUGGCUGUAGAAGGUAGUAUAGAGAUUCAUCGAUAGUCAAGUAGUCUAUCAGUUUUGACUGCUGGAAUAUAAACGACUGCAACAAUGUACCGUAAAUCUAUACAAAUGCUCUUCGACUGCUUGUCGAAGUCCUUUUUGCCCCAGCCGGUAGGUCUCUAGAUGUUACAGAGAAUCCCGAACAACCCAAACUGUUAAUCUUCAAUACCGCUUUGUACUUACGAUCUUGUAUCCACUGACUGUCUUGUUAGAUUAACCCAAUAAAUUUCAUUCACUCCGCAUACUCAAUCCUAUAGACACCCUUUUAAUCCUUCAAUCAUAGACGUAACUUGAUUUCAUAAAACAGUCAAGAGUAUUCAAACCCACUUCAUUAAAAAUCCCGAUUCACCAUUACAAUACUGACUUCAACAGCGAUUGCCUCAGUCUUCUCAAAACUCUCCGAAGAAAAAAAAUCCAAAUUCUAUGUCUUUCCUUCCCCGACCCGAAGCAUGAAGCUCCUCUCUCUAAUCCCCUUGAUUUUCAAAAACCUCUAAUGAAAACCGAACUUGUAACCUUGCAAAAGCUUGAAAACUAGCUCCCCCCGAUUCCCCAGAAAAAAAAAACCCCCCCUCUUCAAAACUAUAUCCUCCCUAACCAUAUCCUCUGAAUUUCUUCAAUCUUCCGUCUUAGAUCCGGAAUUGGCUCCCACCGUCAAGCUUGGAUCCAAAAUUGGCUCUCGAUGUCAGAGCUUUCUCCUUCGUUUUUAUCUUUAAAAAAUCCAUUUACCGAAAACAACGUUCCCUGAAAUGGCAUAGAGAACAGGACAGCCCGAAACAGAAUCAAAACCCCGUAAUCGGGACCACAUUGAGUCACUCGACCAAUUCAGGUCUCAUAUUGGAUAAGAGUCCAGUAGUAACCUGGAUGUUCCCGUAAUUGGGUCAAAUUGGUCCUCGCGUCGGAUUGGCUAAGAUCCGUAGUAAGUCCUGGAUUUCCCGUAAUUGAGUUGACUGACCAAUUCAGGUCUCAUAUCGGAUAAGAGGACCCGGAUUGGAUUCUCGAAAUUGGAUCCAAUUGGCUCUUCGAACCCGUCGUGUGAAUUGGUCCUUCUCUUCUUGCUAACUCCCGUUAUUGGAAUCGAAUGGAGCAUUUCAGUAUGCCCUGGCUGACUAUAAUGGAGUGACUGAACCUAACCACUCGGUAUUUGUACUGGAGUUGGUCGAUGCUCCCAAUAUUCGAGGUAACUGAAUAUUAAUAAAAUUCCCCUUUCUUUUUAUUUUCACUGUAUAUUCAUGUUACAACACGACAUCUAUCCCCUCUGAACCUGUGCAUCCUCCGGUAUGCACCAAUUUAUCCAAUUACUGUUUGAUUCAGAAUAUAUCUAUUACGUCUUUUUCCAGUUCGUCUUUGUCACUUUCAUUAUCCAAAUCACUUUCAUCUUCUUGCUGCGGAAUCUCUAUACCUUCAUUAAGGUCUUCCAUAUUCAUCUCUGCGUGUCUUCGUUUAAAUAUUUUUACUCGCUUCCCUGCAAUUGGUAUUUUCAAUUUUGUACCAUCUAACUCCCGUAAUGAGUAAGUCGCAUUACCAUGAACAGCUUUUACCACAUAUGGUCCAAACCAACGUUUUGAAAAUUUCCGCAAAGUACUAUGUUGAUUAUCCAGACUAUUAUGAUAAACAAGUACCCAGUCACCUUCCUCGAUUGCUUUUGGUCUCAAUCGAUGUUGCUUAUCGAAUCGCGCCUUGUUUUUUAACCUUGCUCUUUUUAACCUUCCCAAUGCUAUCUGGACAUCUUCUGUUCUUUGCUCCAUUUGUCAAAUCCUAAUAGCCAGAAGUUCUUCUCUUGUUAAUCCAUCUUCCCAUGGUAGCAUACUCCAAGUAAGUACCUUUUCUUCAAUCGGCAUAAUUAGUUUUUGACCUGUCAUAAGUUCUACUGGCAUAUAUCCUGUCACCGAACUAUGUGUUGUUCGAUCAGUUCAUAAUGCAAAUGACAAUAGCCAUGGCCACUCUUUAACUUUUCCAUUACAAGCUUUAACCAAUGCUUUCACAAUCGGCGGGUGACCACGUUCACUUUUUACAUUCCCUUCCGGAUUAUAAGCAAUAGUCAGUGAUAGUUUAACUCCACAUCUUUCAAAGAACUUACGAGCUUCUUGUGCAUUUAAUUCUCCACGAUCUGCAGUGAUUUUUCCUACGCACCCGUAACAACAAAUGACAUCUUCAAGCAAAAACCUACAAAUCCCCUCUGUAGAUUUUGUCCUCAAUGCUCUUCCUUCUACUUGAUUUGAUAAAUCUUCACGAGCUAAAACCAAAUAUCUCAUCUGCCAUAAGCCAACCGGCAUAAUAACCAAAUCAACAAUCCAUUUAAAAUGAAUAGCCAGAGGAUACGUAGGAUGAAGACCAUCUCGAUGUCGGAUAUUAGAAUAUGAUUGACAGAUUUCACAUGACUCUACAAAUGAGAGCACAUCUUGAUACAUAUUUUUCCACCAAUAUCGUUCCUUGAGUUUAGCAAAAGUAGCCCAGAUUCCUCUAUGCCCUGUCCAUAAACUAUCAUGAAACUCCUUUAAAAAUUUUAGUUUUUCUUCCCUUUUGCCUAUCACUCAUUGUGGCAUCUCAAUUCCUUUCUUCGGUCUCUUCCAUAAGAACCCAUCUCGAAGUAAAAAUCCAUAUGUUUUUUUUCUUAUUUGUUUGAAUUUUUCUGUAGACUAACUCCCCUGCUUAGUCAAGGUAUUCAAAUAAUGACCAAUAUCCAAUAAUUCUCCUUCAUAAGAUUCUUCAAGAAAUAGCUUGUCUUCUCUGUUGAGAUUCGAUAUUGAAUAGAAUUUCAAUCCGACAUCAUCAAUGUCUUCAACCAUAUCGUCCUCCCUCUCGUAUCUUACUUGAGAUAGCAUAUCUGCUACUAAAUUGUCUUUCCCAGUAACAUGCUUAAAUUCUGGAUUUAGUGACUUAAUAUAAGCAAUCCAUCUCAACAUUGUAAUAUUUGGCGUUGAACAGUUAGUAAUCAUUCCAAGCAAUGGUAAGCAUUCUCUUUCAAUUACUACUAUUGCUCCAAUCAAAUAGUUCUUUUCAGCUUUCAUAGUCGAAACAACUCUCCAAAGUUCUCUUUUGACUUGCGAAUAUGCACGCUCACGAAUACUUAAAACUUUAGCCCCAAAUCGAACUGCAAAUCUACUCCCAUAUGAAUCAUCUUGAUCCACAGCCCAUCCAACGGCAAUUGGACUAGCGUCUACAGUAAGAAUCACUGGUCUAUUGCACUUAUAAUCAACCUUCCUCAAUAUUGGAGGUGACAUCAAUAAUUUCUUCAAUCUUUGCAUUGCCUGAAUAUGCCUUUCUUCCCAUUUAAAUCGGUAACCCUUGCGUAACAGUUCAUAUAAUGGAUCUGCUAUGUGAGCAAAAUGAGGGAUCCAGAUUCGAUAAAAUACACAUGCACCCAAAAACCUGCGAACCUCUGUUAAAGAAUCACAAUCCUCUUUCAUCCUUUCAAUUGCAUCAACUUUAGUCGGAUCUGGUUUUCUUCCGUAAGAUCCGCAUAAAUGUCCAACAAUUACAACCUCUCGCACUCCAAAUACGGACUUCAUACCUGAUAAUGUAAGAUGAACUUCUCCAAGCCGAGUUAAAAUCUUUUCACAAUCUUGUAUAUGAUCAACAACAUAUCUGCGACACCCCCUCGUAUCUAAAGUUUCAUCCUUGUCUCCUUCUCUGCACCCUUUUAUAGGAACAUCAUUCAGAAAAGGCAUAGUCUUUUCCGAAAUAAAAUCUCUCAAUACCUUAUUCAUCCCAUUUAUCAUAUGCGCAACUGAGUUGGUCGCGCCUUGAGGAAGAGUGCACAUUCUAACCAAUCCAAGUGGUGUCCUCAUCGUUGUCAUAUCUCUACUUCCUUCGGCAAGUUGAAAUUGAUCAUAACCUGAAUACAAGUCACCCAUUGAAUAGAUCGCCCUUCCAGCAAACGCCUCAGCAAAUUCAUCCACAAUAGGUCCAAUUCUUGCAUUCCUGACAGUUACUGCAUUCACCGGUUGCAUAUCUUGAAUAAACCGUAGUGACCCAUUCUUCUUAGGUACCGUAAACCAUCGACUAGAAUACGGUGCAAAUGAAGGUUCUAAUAUUUUCAUCUUUAUCUUUUCUUUUAAUAGUUCCACUAAUUUAGGUAAAUAUGCCCUCGGUACUAGAAUCGGUCUUAGAUUCCAAGGUACAUGCGGUACAGUGAAGAUAACCAUAGGUGUUAUAAUAUUUGGAUCCAGACACCCAAUUUCAUGAGAUUCGAAGGCAAACGAUAUACCUUGUUUAGUCAACAUCUUUUUGAAGCAAGUAAUUUCCUCCGGUAAUAAAGAACCAUCAGAACCAAUCUUCAAUUCUUCGAAAGUCUCUUCAGUAAACUGAUGUCCAAUACUCAUUGGAUCUCUUAAACUUGCUUCUUUUGAUGCUUCUCCCAUUUGUUCUUUAGAAUCCUCUGGUAAUGGUCUGGCAAUAGGUUUUAUCUUCUUAUCUUCCGUUUUAUAUCUCGUCUCUACUGUGACUUCUGGUGCUUGAAAAGAUUCAAGCAUGGUAUAAACCUCUCUCGAAUGAAUCUCAACAAUCUUAUCAUUAUCCCCUAACCCAAUAGAUGUAAUCAAUUCCAAUGAAUCUUCCAGUCCAUUUUCUUCAUAAACACCCAAAAUCCUCUCAUCAUCUUAUAAUGUACCUAUCUUGCGUAAUUGUCCUUCAAUAUUAUAUAAUCUUUUUCUUUCUUUUCUUUUAAAAUCAUCAACUUUCUUAUACAUAAUAUUUCCAUUCUCUAAUAUACCAAUAAAACUCGCAUCAAAGGCACCUUCAUCUCGCAAGAGUACCUCCUCUUUUGUACCUCCAUAAUCUCGCUUUACAGUGGUACCUCCCCAAAAUCCUUAAAUCCUUCAACAAUCUUUGGCAAUGGUUUCUCCCUCAACCUAUCUCGAUUUCGUUCAUGGUUAGGAGGUACUGUUAGAAAUUGUACAGCUUUCCUCGCAUCUUCGCUUCGUACCCUUGCAUAAGCAGAACCAUCGUCAAGUACUUUUGUUUCCAUCCGUAUUGCCGUGAUAUAAGGUUGUCCUAAAAUCAACGGAUAAGACGUUGUAUCUUGAACGAAGAAAUGUUGCUCCGUCGCAACAUCCUCAAUCCAAAUUUUGACAUUUGGACAAGCUCCAUAUAAUUCACCUCGUGUGUUAUGAGCUGCUCGUAUUGCCCAUCCAUGUUCCAUAUCAAUUGGCCAUUUUUGUUUCUUAUAAAGAUCUUUAGACAUGAGAUUUAUUUCAGAACCAUGGUCGACCAAAACAACUAUUGGUUCAUCUAUAUCUCCUACCUUCACCAAUACCUCAGUAGUUGCCUUUGCCCAAUGCUUUCGAGUAUAAUGGCUCAAAGUUUCCAUUUCCUUGUCACUAGAAUCUUUGAAACGUUCUCGCUGAUUAUACCCAUUCUUUUCAUUUGUUGGUUGCUUGUAACCAAUAUCAACCUCUUCUUCAUCUCUACAUAUUCUUGCAUCAAUAGCAUGACUCAUUCCAGUUUUGCCCAUUAAUUGCCUCUUUUGCUUAAUGCUGUCAAUGAUAACAUCAUGAAACUCCUUCUUUGCAAUUCCCCAGACUUCUUUCAAUGUGAAUUCCACCUUAGCAUUUAAUAUACGUUUUUCCAACACCCCUUUCAAAUUUGUUGCCACUUCAAUGUCAAAAAGUAGCUUAUAGGCAAUUGAUUUGCCUUUAUCUUUUGUCUCCGUUGUUUUUUCUCCCAAUGAUGCUGAGGUAUCUUUUACAAGCAAUUCUUGUGAAGCUGCCUCCCGAGCCUUGUCUCCUUGAGUUUGCCUCUUAAAAGAAUUUCCUUCUCUAGUAUCAUCAAAAUUUCCUCGUCUCUUUUCUUCCAUCAAAGCUUCAUGUUGGCUCUUAGCAAUAUAUGCAUGAACUGAAAGAGAUUCAACAGGAUCCUCCCAACUUGUUCUACCUCGUAUUGUAGCUGCAGUUCUCAAUAACGCUUCUCGAGGUAAUUUCCCUUCUUGCAUUGUAGAAACGGCAGAAGUCCAAAACUCACUAGUUUUCGUACUUCCACCAAUUUCAUCAUCUACUCUAGCACCAUAACUUGCACUUUCUCGUGCUACUAUUUCAUGCUCUUUUAAGUAAUCUUGAACUAAUGCUCUCAUUCCUUCCUUACCAAAAUUGGUUUGAAGAAGAUCCUCUCUAUUUUUCAAUGCUAUCUUCCCAUCUUUCUAGCAAAUAAUUCUUUGCCGUAUAAUAUUAUUAAAUUCAUUGCAAUCUUUUCUAGUGUGUGAAGCAUCAUCACACCAAAUGCAUCUUUGUACAUAUCCUUGUUUUGAAACAUUCUUCGAAUUAUUUAUAGAAGUAUUCUCUUCAAAUUUUGCCAAUUUGAUUUGAAGAUCUCGCAUUCCUGGUAUAAUUUCUUCCAUACCCAUAUCUGCUUUCUUUGACAAGGAUGUCGAAGGUUGAACUGUAGGCAUUGUCGGUGGUGUUGUACGUACUGGAGCUUUGGGUGCUUGUACUGUUUUCGGAAUAUUGCUCCUAUCCUUCCUCCUUUCUUUUUUUGUAAGCAACCCCACCGCAUCUUCAACGUUCUUCCACUUCGUUGUCAAUCCUUCAUCUUCUUCUUUGUCUUCAAGAAGGGGUUCUAAUUUCUCUUGCAAUUCUCCAUCAGCAGCUUGAAGAAAUAGAUCAACUUUGUUCAGCUCCAAUGUCAAUUUUUCUACCUUCGAUAAUUGAGAGUACUGCCUCUCAAAUUACCUUAGUAGCUCUGUUGCUUGCAAAUUCUUAUUGGGCCGUUCAAUCCAUCCCAGAAACAGCUUCUUAGUAACGCGAUCAGCAUCUUCCAAGAAAUAUUCGUCUUUCAAUGCAUGUGAAAAAUCCUCCCAUGAAUUCCCACAACGAUCCGUAAUCGAUGUAAUGUGGUCCCUUAUCUCCGGUAUCGUGGCAAGUCCAAAUAGUGCAACCAUUUUCUUCUCAGAAAUCCGAUUUAAUUCCAUUUCACGAACAUAACAUCUUAAAUACCUUGAAAUAUUCCUUCCAUCAAAUUGAUCAAUUUUAUUGACCACUGCUUGCAAUGCUUUGGUUACCAAAGCUUCCUUUCGAUCAUUGCUUUGCUGUUGCUGUAUUGACAUGAGAAGGCUUGAAACAAACUAGCAAUAGACGGAUCUAUGUGCAUACCUUGUCCUUUAGAGGACUCCCCACUAGAAACUCCUCUCAAAAAUCCUUCCAAAUUUUUAUUUUCGUUUUCCAUAAAAAUAAAGAUAAAAUCAACCGAAAUCCAAUACCUUCCACCUCAAGCUUUCAUGUCGGGUUCACCACUUUUGUCGUAUUACGUGCUUUCCUGCUCGAGAAUGCGCCGGGCGUAUGGCUGUAGAAGGUAGUAUGGAGAUUCGUCGAUAGUCAAGCAGUCUAUCAGUUUUGACUGCUGGAAUAUAAACGACUGCAAUAAUGUACCGUAAAUCUAUACGAAUGCUCUUCGACUGCUUGUCAAAGUCCUUUUUACCCCAGCCGGUAGGUCUCUAGACGUUACAGAGAAUCCCGAAGAAUCCAAACUGUUAAUCUUCAAUACCGCUUUGUACUUACGAUCUUGUAUCCACUGACUGUCUUGUUAGAUUAACCCAAUAAAUUUCAUUCACUCCGCAUACUCAAUCCUAUAGACACCCUUUUAAUCCUUCAAUCACAGACGUAACUUGAUUUCACAAAACAGUCAAGAGUAUUCAAACCCACUUCAUUAAAAAUCCCGAUUCACCAUUAUAAUACUGACUUCAGCAGCGAUUGCCUCAGUCUUCUCAAAACUCUUCGAAGAAAAAAAAUCCAAAUUCUAUGUCUUUCCUUCCCCUACCCGAAGCAUGAAGCUCCUCUCUCUAAUUUCCUUGAUCUUCAAAAACCUCCAAUGAAAACCGAACUUGUAACCUUGUAAAAGCUUGAAAACUAGCUCCCCCCGAUUCCCCAGAAAAAAAAAACCCCCCCUCUUCAAAACUAUAUCCCCCCUAACCUUAUCCUCUGAAUUUCUUCAAUCUUCCGUCUUAGAUCCGGAAUUGGCUCCCACCGUCAAGCUUGGAUCCGAAAUUGGCUCUCGCCAUCAGAGCUUUCUCCUUCGUUUUUACCUUUAAGAAAUCCAUUUACCGAAAACAACGUUUCUUGAAAUGGCACAGAGAACAGGACAGCCCGAAAUAGAAUCGAAACCCCGUAAUCGGGACCACAUUGAGUCGCUCGACCAAUUCAGGUCUCAUAUUGGAUAAGAGUCCAGUAGUAACCUGGAUGUUCCCGUAAUUGGGUCAAAUUGGUCCUCGCGUCAGAUUGGCUAAGACCCGUAGUAAGACGUGGAUUUCCCGUAAUUGGGUUGAACGGCCAAUUCAGGUCUCAUAUUGGAUAAGAGGACCCGGAUUGGAUUCUCGAAAUUGGAUCCAAUUGGCUCUUCGAACCCGUCAUGUGAAUUGGUCCUUCUCUUCUUGCUGACUCCUGUUAUUGGAAUCGAAUGGAGCAUUUCAGUAUGCCCCGGCUGACUAUAACGGAGUGACUGAACUUGACCACUCAGUAUUUGCACUGGAGUUGGUCGAUGCUCCCAAUAUUCGAGGUAACUGAAUAUUAAUAAAAUUCCCCUUUCUUUUUAUUUUCACUGUAUACUCGUGUUACAACACGACAACGGACAGUAGGGGUAUCAUGUUGUCAUUAUCACCACUAGGUAAAAGAAUAAGAGUGGGGCACCUAUUUAUGGUCAUUCUCAGUUGUCGCAUUCUAUUAUUGUUUCUUUUUGGUGUUACAAUUUUGGGUGUUUUGAAGUACUGGAGCAUAGUAUUGAUGGUUAGAGCUUGAAAGAGUAUGCAUCAUGGCGAUAGAGAGUGCAAAGAGAGCUACAAAUAGAGAGGAAAGUGGCCGAAAUGUGAAAGCUAAAUAUAAUUUAGGACCACCAUCCGUAGUAAUCGUUACCAAUAUGCAGCCUAUGAAGCUAGAGAUUUGCUGGACGCUAAGGAGAAUACGAGAUUUUUGAAACGUACAAAUGUUUCAAUUUUUGCGAAGGUCAGAUAGUUUGCCUUCAAUUAAUGUGGUAUUAGUGGAAGAAUACAUCGCGAAUUAUGAUCCACAGGAUAGAUCGAGCGUAGUACAAGGGCAUGUUAUCAAUAUUGAUGAGAAGAUCUUCAAAAAAGUACUGUUUCUUCUAAUUGGAAAGAUUGCGGUGGGUGCUGAGGAGUUUGGUGACUUCCGACUGGGAAGUAAUUUCAAAAGUGGCAUGUCAUCGUUUGAGAAGAACCAAGGUUGGUAAACGGCUGAGGUAAUUAUAUCAGAGCUCAUGAAAUGGUUGCGCUUCAUGUUGAGGCGUCUAGGGUUGUAUCGACACAACACAUAUAUGUCAAGACGGUUAAUGUUUGUAGCGGUAGGGACGUUUGAAGGGAUGGUGUUUAAUUGGGCAAUUUAUGUAGCAACCCGUAUUCAUGUGGAAAUGGGAGCCAAGCACAGAAUAAGGAAGUUUACAGCAUUGCUAUGUUCCAAUUAUGUGUAUGCUAUGAUCACAUAUAUAUUGCAGCAAACAUCGCCAGUAGAGGGAAGUUCUGAACCAGUACUAGUGCCUCCGCAACGAGAACGGAAUUUGUUGGUAUAGAAUGUCAAUAUAAUGGACGUAAUACAUGAAAUUGGAGAAUCCAGUUGUCUAUUGGCAUCGAAAAUGGAUCCGAUUCGUGCAGUGGUGUAGGAGGAGAAUGAAGUCCCGAUGUUGUUAGAUAUCAAUCAGUUAGCAUUUCCACAAGGCCGAUUGUCGGAAGGCAUAUAUUUUAAAAAUUCUUUAUUGAAGUACAUUUUACAAAUACAUUAUAUGGUACAAGCAUUGGAUGUAGAGGGCAGUGGUAAACUGGAAUUAGACGCAAGCAAAAAGGUAAUAUCGAAGUAGAUACAAAGAAUUGAAGAGCAAGAACGGAUCAUCCAAGCGAAUGUGAAAUCCAAGCUACUAUUGGAGCGACAAAUUAGGGAACAAUAGGAAGCUUGGGACAAAGAAAGAGAGCGUAUGGUAGAAACCCAUAGGCAAGAACUAUUUUGGGCUCGCAGUCAUUCAAUUUUGGAAUUGGAAAAAGUGAAGGGUCAAUUGGUAAUGGAAUGAGAAAAGAUCGAGUUAUUAGCACAAGAGAAAUUGGUAUUGAGUGACCAAUACAGAUGUGAAACGGAGUGGUUAAGGACUGAAAUUGAGGCCUUGAAUACCGAGGUGACAAGAUUGGCAGAGAAUUUAGUCAAUAUUGAUCAAGCACAAGUAUCGACAUUGUCAGUUCCUGAAGUUUCAGAAGAGAGGAGUCACUUUUAGCGCCAGUUGGAAUUGAGAGAUGCCCAAAUCCUGAAAUUGGAAGCUCAAGUCCGUGAACUGGGCGAGUACAAUGAAGACCUUUCAGCUCAGUUGAGGCAAGAGCCAAUAGAAGGAUUGGAGGAGGACGAAGAUUUGUAGUUAGAAACGGAAUCGAUGGAACCAAUAACAGAUACUACGGCAAUUGUUUAAUUAGAUAGGCCAGAGGGAUCGCAAUUUUUGUAGAGUUUUGUUAGAUAAUUUUUAGAUAGGUAUCAAUUAAGUAUUUGCGAGGAUAUUGUACAGUUAGGAGUGGGGCUAUGUAGAAUAAGUAGUUAUUUUUAGAAUAUAGAUACCUAGUGUAUAGUGUAAACAGGGAUAGAUAAGUGCUGAAAAGAUGGUUCAGUAGGUAGAAUGGAUGAAUAGUCAGAAAAAGUAGUUAUCAUCUAUAGUAUAGGAGUUGGUAUCUCAGGGUAGUAUAAAGAAGAUGGAAGAGAGGAAGAAAAUGCCAGACUGCAAUAGUGUUGAGCCAGGGACCAGACUGUGAGAGUUGUGAGCCAAGGGCCAGAUUGUGAGAGUUGUGAGUCGAGAGCCAGAUUGUGAGAGUUGUGAGCCGAGGGCCAGACUGUGAGAGUUGUGAGCCGAGGGCCAGAUUGUGAGAGUUGUGAGCCGAGGGCCAGAUUGUGAGAGUUGUGAGCCGAGGGCCAGACUGUGAGAGUUGUGUGCCAAGGGCCAGAUUGUGAGAGUUGUGAGCCGAGGGCCAGACUGUGAGAGUUGUGAGCCAAGGGCCAGAUUGUGAGAGUUUUGAGCCGAGGGCAGACUGUGAGAAUUGUGAGCCGAGGGCCAGAUUAUGAGAGUUAUUAGCCGAGGGCCAGAGUGUGAGAGUUGUGAGCUGGGAUAAGCUUGGUGCUACUUCUUUUCUUUUGUUUGUUAUUUUUUUUGAAUAAGAGGGUUGAAAGUUUCUGAAUACUAUGAAGUGAAUUAUGGAAUGGAAAUGUGAUUGAUAUUAUUUGAGAUGAAGAAAGAUUGAAUGCUGAAAUCUGAUUAUAGUUCAGCAAAGAGAAUGAGUUUGUAUUUGUAUGAAACACUGUAAUGUGAAUGGCACUUCUGUGUAAAGAAUUCCACUGAUUGGAAUGAGGAUAAUUGUGUAUUGAAAGCUAUGAGGGUAUAGUAUUACAGUUGGAGAUUAUGAAGGUGAAUAUAUUGGUGGAAAUAGCAGUUAUUGGUAUGACUGAAUUACUGUAAGGAAGAGACCGAUAAGAUGAAGGAGGAGAUUAUAGUUUCCUAAUGUGUUCAGAUAUUGAAAAUAGAGACGAUACAUUCAGGAGGUAAUUGAUUGUGUGACCCUAACGUGAACGCUUAAGCAACUAGUCAUUCCUUGUGUUCGAAUCUCCUUAUACGAGUUUAUGCUGGGAGGUUUCUUUCGGAAUAAGUAAAACGAGCAAUCACAAGAUACAAAGUUCUUUGUAGCCUUGUGGGCUUAUAGAACAAUGUUUAAAGUGACAAUCCAAACAAAUCCAUUUUCCUUGGUUUAUGGCAUAGAAUCUAUUUCACUAAUUAAAUUUAAAAUUCCUUCCCGUUGAAUUUUCUUAAAAGAAAGAUUGUCAACUAAAUAAUCUAUAAUUGAUUGAUUAGAGCAAUUAGAAGGUCUAGAUGAGACUAAAAGUCAGAGUGCUAAAUAUAUGGAGGCCAUUCAAUGAAGAAGAAAAGUUGCCUUUGAUAAGAGACAUAAAAUUAAAAUCCUUAAGCCUGACAUGUUAGUUCUCUUAUAAGAUGCUAGGAGAUUAGAUUUUCCAAGAAAAUUUGAUGUUAUAUGGUUAGGCCCCUAUGCAGUUAAAGAAGUCUUUUCAAAUAACUCAGUUUGGAUACAAACACUUAACAAGGAAGAUUUUCCUACCAAAAUAUCUAGAUAUAGAUAUAAAGAAUAUAAAGUGUGAUUUUUAUCAUACACAAAUUCAAAUGGCUCAUCCUCAAAUUCGCCUUUAUUCAAUCCCUAAAGUGGCAACUUAUUAAAAUUGGGCGGAAUUUAGAUGCUAAACCAUUGGAGAUCAAGAUAAGGAAUAAUCAUAUUCAUUUGUUUUGUCUUCUUUUCAAUUUAGUUCCUUCACCAAAAAAUUAGAGAUAUUCUAACUAAAGGAGACAAAUACUUGAUGAAAUUUUUAUGAAAAAAAAAAAAUAUUAUUAUUAUUAUUAUUAUUAAGAAUUGAAAGAAUGUAUCUUAAUAAACAUCCAAAGGGCAUAGAGGGAUUGGUCAGGUGAGGGAUUAUCAUGUGAGUGUCCUAGGUUUGAAUCUGGUUGAAAAAAAUAUAUUCUAAAAUACACAAGAUAUAGUAAGUAGUAUAGAAAUCCUUAGAGAAAUAAAAAAUUAGAAUAUUAAUGGUAGAAAUAGAUUCUUAGUAAGACUUGGAGGUAAUUAUCUUUGUUGGUUUAGUAUUUUUAUUCAAUAUUGAAUAGUAAGGAUUAUUUAUUAAGACCAAUAUUUAUAUUGGCCUUCUAACUAUAUAUACUAUUUAUAAAAACUAUAAAUAUUAGUAGUUAGAAGAAGCAGGAGAAAGAAUCUCAUAUCAUUUUAAUUAUUGGUAUAAAAAAUAGGAUUUAUAAUAGAUUUAAAGUGAUUUUUAUUAUUAUUAAAAAUCACCAAGUUAGAAAAAUAUAACCUUAGAUGGAUAUUAGAAUUAUAGAAAUAUUAUAGAAAUUUUCAGAAUUUACUUAGAAUUUAUUUAGAAUUUUUUAGGAAUUUUUAGAGCAAUUUUUAAGAUCUUGGUAAAAAUAAGUUUUACCACUUUGGGAGCCUUUAUGAAGAAAUGGAGUAAGAUUUGAAGGCCACACAUGGCUCCUAGGCUAAUUGGGUGUUUUUGAACACCAUGGUGAAGUCUAAAUUACAAAAAUGUUGGUCCUUGUAGUAGAAAAUAGGAGGACCAGCAGCUACUGUAGUCCUUGUAGGAAGGGAAGUGCACAAGUCUCAUAUGGGUUGUAGCACCUAGAAAGUAGUUAGGAGGAUAAGACUAAGGCUUUGUGGACUCUCUUAAAGCCCCUUAUAUACUACAUGUGAGCCUUGGUGAGGCUCGAAUCCUUGAUCUAUAAGAAAGUUACCUUUGAGGUAAAAUAUUUUUAUUUUAAUUUUUAAUUAUUUAUUUUAUAUCUUUAAAACUUCAUAAUUGUUACUAUAAUGUCGUCAAUGAUGGUUAAUAGUUCUUUUUACUUUUAUUUUUAAUUUUUUAAUUUAUUUUUUUAUAUUUUGUGGUAGAAUCAAGUACCUUGGUGUAUCAUUGUUGUGAUUACAUUGUUGAUUUGGGCGUUGUCAAUAAUAGCUAGUGUCCUAUAUUAUUGCAACCAUAGUUUUGCGAUCAAUCUUUCAUGUCCACCUUUUGAACUUGCCAACAUUGUAGUUGUUCAAUCACUGUGCUCUUUACAUGAGGUAUUGUGUGCAAUCAAAAUAAAGCACUGAAAAUAAUGUUGAUUGCUAUACAAUUUCUUGCAAUAUUUUAGAACAAUCUAAAGUCAAAUCAAAAUCAAAAGAUGUAGAAGUUAUGUUAGAUAUAUAGUAAAAAAGAAGAGCAUUGCAAAUAUAAAAAAAAAAAAAAACAUAUUUGAAUAAGAUGUUGAAGUUAUGUUAGAUACAUUGAUUUACCAAUCAUUAGUAAAAAUAUUCAAAGAUAGAAUUAUAAGAGUACAUGAUUAAGUGUAAGACAUAGGUAGAAACAUUGCUAAAAAGACAAUAGAAUAUAAAUACACAUAAAUAUGGAACUUGAAUAUAGAUCCAUUUUAUAGAUUAUCAAAUCAAGUAAUUUUAUCCAACUAUUAUCUAAAUGGCAUGUAUAAAACUAAUCAUAGUAAAAAAUAGGAUUAAUUUUUUAAAAUUAUAUUUUUAUUAUUUUAUAUCACAAAUAUUUUAAUAUAUUUUUUACAUAUAUAUUUAUAUAAAAUUAAAAUAUAAAUAAAUAAAUCUUAUAUUAUAAAUUUAUUUGUAUAUAUAUUAAAUAUAUCUUUAAUAUAGAAAUUCUAAUUUAAUUAUAUAUUAAAUUAUAUUGAUUUAUAAAAUUAAAGGGAUUAUUUUACAAUAUCAAUAAUAAUAGUAUAAGUAAAAUAAGAAGUACUUCUUUUACAUCACUUAAAUUUUUAAGUUGUAAUGUUGGUAUUUCAGCACUCAAUAUUGCUAUAAGUAUACCAAAUAUAUUUUUUGUAUUAAUAAAAUAUUUUCUUAGUUUAAAAUAUUUUCUACCAGAUAUUCUAUUGGAAUAUAACUUAUUAAGAGAAGUAGAAAAUUAAGCAUUGCAAUUGCUACAUGAUACAUAUGUUUAAAAAAAUUUUGAAAGUUUAAAUAUCCUACGAUUGAGAAAUUAUACUUUUAUAGAAAAUUUUUCAAAUUCAUUCUUUAAAAUUGCUAUAUUAUUGGAACUUGACUUAGGAAGAAGCUCAAACUUAACUAUGCUAUUAAAUGAAUUAAAGUAUAUGAUUUCUUUGAAGAUAUAUAAUUUUAAAAAAUUUACAAAAUUAAAAUAAUUAUAAACUUCAAUAGAAAGUCUUCUUGUUUUAACUACCUUUGUCAUGAGUUGGUGUCCAAGCUUGACAUCAUUGCUACAUGAAUUGAAUAAUCUCACAACUUUGAGUAUGUUUGAUGUAAGAGGGUACUCAAGCUUGAUAUCAUUGUUAGAAUGAAUAGUCAAUAUAUGUUUGUAAUUGCUCGUUUUACUUAUUCCGGAAGAAACCUCCCAGCAUAAACUCGUAUAUGGAAAUUCGAACACGAGAAAUGACUAGUUGCUUAAGCGUUCACGUUAGGGUUACACAAUCAAUUACCUCCUCAAUGUAUCGUCUCUAUUUCCAAUAUCUAAACACACAAGGAAACUAUAAUCUCCUCCUUCACCUUAUUGGUCUCAUCCUUACAAUAAUUUAGUCAUACCAAUAACUGCUAUUUUUACCAAUAUAUUCACCCUCAUAAUCUCCAACUGUAAUACUAUGCCCUCACAACUUUCAACACACAAUUACCCUCGUUCCAAUCACUGGAAUUCUUCACACAGAACUGCCAUUCACAUUAAGUGUUUCACACAAACACAAACUCAUUCUCUCUGCUGAACUACAAUCAGAUUUCAGUAUUCAAUCUUUCUUCUUCUCAAAUAAUACCAAUCAUAUUUUCAUUCCAUAAUUUACUUCACAAUAUUCAGAAACUUUCAAUCCUCUUAUUCAAAGAAAAUAACAAACAAAAGAAAAGAGGUAGCACCAAGCUUAUCCCAGCUCACAACUCUCAUACUCUGGCCCUCGGCUAAUAACUCUCAUAAUCUGGCCUUCGGCUCACAAUUCUCACAGUCUGCCCUCGGCUCACAACUCUCACAAUCUGGCCCUUGACUCACAACUCUCACAGUCUGGCCCUCGGCUCACAACUCUCACAGUCUGGCCUCUGGCUCAGCACUAUCGCAAUCUGGCAUUUUCUUCCCCUCUCCCAUC
rnacentral:lncRNA from 1 species